rnacentral:rRNA from 1 species
UUAAGCGACUAAGCGUACACGGUGGAUGCCCUGGCAGUCAGAGGCGAUGAAGGACGUGCUAAUCUGCGAUAAGCGUCGGUAAGGUGAUAUGAACCGUUAUAACCGGCGAUUUCCGAAUGGGGAAACCCAGUGUGAUUCGUCACACUAUCAUUAACUGAAUUCAUAGGUUAAUGAGGCGAACCGGGGGAACUGAAACAUCUAAGUACCCCGAGGAAAAGAAAUCAACCGAGAUUCCCCCAGUAGCGGCGAGCGAACGGGGAGCAGCCCAGAGCCUGAAUCAGUGUGUGUGUUAGUGGAAGCGUCUGGAAAGGCGCGCGAUACAGGGUGACAGCCCCGUACACAAAAAUGCACAUGCUGUGAGCUCGAUGAGUAGGGCGGGACACGUGGUAUCCUGUCUGAAUAUGGGGGGACCAUCCUCCAAGGCUAAAUACUCCUGACUGACCGAUAGUGAACCAGUACCGUGAGGGAAAGGCGAAAAGAACCCCGGCGAGGGGAGUGAAAAAGAACCUGAAACCGUGUACGUACAAGCAGUGGGAGCCUCUUUAUGGGGUGACUGCGUACCUUUUGUAUAAUGGGUCAGCGACUUAUAUUCUGUAGCAAGGUUAACCGAAUAGGGGAGCCGAAGGGAAACCGAGUCUUAACUGGGCGUUAAGUUGCAGGGUAUAGACCCGAAACCCGGUGAUCUAGCCAUGGGCAGGUUGAAGGUUGGGUAACACUAACUGGAGGACCGAACCGACUAAUGUUGAAAAAUUAGCGGAUGACUUGUGGCUGGGGGGGAAAGGCCAAUCAAACCGGGAGAUAGCUGGUUCUCCCCGAAAGCUAUUUAGGUAGCGCCUCGUGAAUUCAUCUCCGGGGGUAGAGCACUGUUUCGGCAAGGGGGUCAUCCCGACUUACCAACCCGAUGCAAACUGCGAAUACCGGAGAAUGUUAUCACGGGAGACACACGGCGGGUGCUAACGUCCGUCGUGAAGAGGGAAACAACCCAGACCGCCAGCUAAGGUCCCAAAGUCAUGGUUAAGUGGGAAACGAUGUGGGAAGGCCCAGACAGCCAGGAUGUUGGCUUAGAAGCAGCCAUCAUUUAAAGAAAGCGUAAUAGCUCACUGGUCGAGUCGGCCUGCGCGGAAGAUGUAACGGGGCUAAACCAUGCACCGAAGCUGCGGCAGCGACGCUUAUGCGUUGUUGGGUAGGGGAGCGUUCUGUAAGCCUGCGAAGGUGUACUGUGAGGUAUGCUGGAGGUAUCAGAAGUGCGAAUGCUGACAUAAGUAACGAUAAAGCGGGUGAAAAGCCCGCUCGCCGGAAGACCAAGGGUUCCUGUCCAACGUUAAUCGGGGCAGGGUGAGUCGACCCCUAAGGCGAGGCCGAAAGGCGUAGUCGAUGGGAAACAGGUUAAUAUUCCUGUACUUGGUGUUACUGCGAAGGGGGGACGGAGAAGGCUAUGUUGGCCGGGCGACGGUUGUCCCGGUUUAAGCGUGUAGGCUGGUUUUCCAGGCAAAUCCGGAAAAUCAAGGCUGAGGCGUGAUGACGAGGCACUACGGUGCUGAAGCAACAAAUGCCCUGCUUCCAGGAAAAGCCUCUAAGCAUCAGGUAACAUCAAAUCGUACCCCAAACCGACACAGGUGGUCAGGUAGAGAAUACCAAGGCGCUUGAGAGAACUCGGGUGAAGGAACUAGGCAAAAUGGUGCCGUAACUUCGGGAGAAGGCACGCUGAUACGUAGGUGAAGUCCCUUGCGGAUGGAGCUGAAAUCAGUCGAAGAUACCAGCUGGCUGCAACUGUUUAUUAAAAACACAGCACUGUGCAAACACGAAAGUGGACGUAUACGGUGUGACGCCUGCCCGGUGCCGGAAGGUUAAUUGAUGGGGUUAGCGGUAACGCGAAGCUCUUGAUCGAAGCCCCGGUAAACGGCGGCCGUAACUAUAACGGUCCUAAGGUAGCGAAAUUCCUUGUCGGGUAAGUUCCGACCUGCACGAAUGGCGUAAUGAUGGCCAGGCUGUCUCCACCCGAGACUCAGUGAAAUUGAACUCGCUGUGAAGAUGCAGUGUACCCGCGGCAAGACGGAAAGACCCCGUGAACCUUUACUAUAGCUUGACACUGAACAUUGAGCCUUGAUGUGUAGGAUAGGUGGGAGGCUUUGAAGUGUGGACGCCAGUCUGCAUGGAGCCGACCUUGAAAUACCACCCUUUAAUGUUUGAUGUUCUAACGUUGGCCCCUAAUCGGGGUUGCGGACAGUGUCUGGUGGGUAGUUUGACUGGGGCGGUCUCCUCCUAAAGAGUAACGGAGGAGCACGAAGGUUGGCUAAUCCUGGUCGGACAUCAGGAGGUUAGUGCAAUGGCAUAAGCCAGCUUGACUGCGAGCGUGACGGCGCGAGCAGGUGCGAAAGCAGGUCAUAGUGAUCCGGUGGUUCUGAAUGGAAGGGCCAUCGCUCAACGGAUAAAAGGUACUCCGGGGAUAACAGGCUGAUACCGCCCAAGAGUUCAUAUCGACGGCGGUGUUUGGCACCUCGAUGUCGGCUCAUCACAUCCUGGGGCUGAAGUAGGUCCCAAGGGUAUGGCUGUUCGCCAUUUAAAGUGGUACGCGAGCUGGGUUUAGAACGUCGUGAGACAGUUCGGUCCCUAUCUGCCGUGGGCGCUGGAGAACUGAGGGGGGCUGCUCCUAGUACGAGAGGACCGGAGUGGACGCAUCACUGGUGUUCGGGUUGUCAUGCCAAUGGCACUGCCCGGUAGCUAAAUGCGGAAGAGAUAAGUGCUGAAAGCAUCUAAGCACGAAACUUGCCCCGAGAUGAGUUCUCCCUGACUCCCUGAGAGUCCUGAAGGAACGUUGAAGACGACGACGUUGAUAGGCCGGGUGUGUAAGCGCAGCGAUGCGUUGAGCUAACCGGUACUAAUGAACCGUGAGGCUUAACCUU